rnacentral:lncRNA from 1 species
GAGUCGUUCCCCGAAGAUGGCGCCCAGUGGAGUCGCCUGCCUUGCUCGCGGCCCACCCCGAGGCGGUCACACCCCGGUCCCGCCCCCGCAGCCCCAAAAAUCAGGCGGAAGCACCGGAGCAAAAACUGUAUUUACACAACACGGGGUUAUACAAAAAUUUGAAAAGGCGGAGUGAGGAGACGACGGUCAGGAGGCGCCACAGCGCUGGCCGGCGGCGAGACCCAGGAUGUUUGCCUGCAACACAGGAGGGAGGGAGACAGCGACGUUAGAGAGGGGCGCGGGGCGCAGGACAGGCAGAGGAGGGGCAGGGCCGUGACUUCACCUUCAGGAAGGACUCCAUCUGUUUCCCCGUUAUGCCCUCCACGCGUUCCAGGUCCUCCACCUGGCGGGACAGGAUCGAUAGGGGACAGGGUCUCGGGGGUACCCGGUCUCCCCCGCCCCCGCCCUCCCCCAGUCCAGUGGGCUGCUACCUGGCUGAAGGGGCCGUGGAGCUCCCGCCAGCCCACGAUUAGCUGGGCCUUCUUCGGGCCAAUGCGCUGAAGACUGCGGAGAUCUCGGGCUGAGCCUUCGUUCAGCAGAUCCAGUAUUUUUUGGCGCCCAUGAGCCAGUAGCUCCGGGCUGAUCUGUAGCUCCCAGCAGUCCUCAGCCUUCUCCUCAGGCUCUAGGGCAUCCAGGGACUCCAGCUGGGAGGCAAAGGGAGAUGAGUGACACGCAGGGCAGCCAAGUGCUUUGGGCUCCUCUGCCAAGACUAGGAGCCCAGCACCAGCUACCUCCUGCGCUCCAGCCUCUUCCUCUCUUGUCAAGUGUGUCCAAAAUCCCGCCCUCAGGUCACUCUCUGGGUUAAUUCUUAUUAUGCAACUAGUGAAAGAGAGGUACUACUCAGUACCCAGUGGUAAUAUUAGCACCCUUCUCAUGGAGUUGCUGUGGAGAUCAAGUGAGUUAAUGAAUGUAAAGCACAAAAUAAGCUCUUAAAUCUGGUCCCUCAUCUCUAAAAGGGAAAGAAUAAGCUGUCUUUCAAAAAGUACAUGGGAGAAAGUAAUAUGAAUAAAUGAUACCUCCCCCAACCAUCUCAGUUUUUGGGUAGUUCUAGUGGUGUUCGAUUCUGGGUAUGUGCAUAUGUGUGGUUUCUUGCUUGACUGCUUAGGUCAUAGUUCCCUAAGUUUUCCCUCUUAAGCUUGUAGAGGGUAGAAGCCAGGCUACACAGUGGAACAUCCGCUCUGCGAGGUACAUCCACAUCA